rnacentral:rRNA from 1 species
AGCGUACACGGUGGAUGCCCUGGCAGUCAGAGGCGAUGAAGGACGUGCUAAUCUGCGAUAAGCGUCGGUAAGGUGAUAUGAACCGUUAUAACCGGCGAUUUCCGAAUGGGGAAACCCAGUGUGUUUCGACACACUAUCAUUAACUGAAUCCAUAGGUUAAUGAGGCGAACCGGGGGAACUGAAACAUCUAAGUACCCCGAGGAAAAGAAAUCAACCGAGAUUCCCCCAGUAGCGGCGAGCGAACGGGGAGGAGCCCAGAGCCUGAAUCAGUGUGUGUGUUAGUGGAAGCGUCUGGAAAGGCGCGCGAUACAGGGUGACAGCCCCGUACACAAAAAUGCACAUGCUGUGAGCUCGAUGAGUAGGGCGGGACACGUGGUAUCCUGUCUGAAUAUGGGGGGACCAUCCUCCAAGGCUAAAUACUCCUGACUGACCGAUAGUGAACCAGUACCGUGAGGGAAAGGCGAAAAGAACCCCGGCGAGGGGAGUGAAAAAGAACCUGAAACCGUGUACGUACAAGCAGUGGGAGCACAGAGCAAUCUGUGUGACUGCGUACCUUUUGUAUAAUGGGUCAGCGACUUAUAUUCUGUAGCAAGGUUAACCGAAUAGGGGAGCCGAAGGGAAACCGAGUCUUAACUGGGCGUUAAGUUGCAGGGUAUAGACCCGAAACCCGGUGAUCUAGCCAUGGGCAGGUUGAAGGUUGGGUAACACUAACUGGAGGACCGAACCGACUAAUGUUGAAAAAUUAGCGGAUGACUUGUGGCUGGGGGUGAAAGGCCAAUCAAACCGGGAGAUAGCUGGUUCUCCCCGAAAGCUAUUUAGGUAGCGCCUCGUGAAUUCAUCUCCGGGGGUAGAGCACUGUUUCGGCAAGGGGGUCAUCCCGACUUACCAACCCGAUGCAAACUGCGAAUACCGGAGAAUGUUAUCACGGGAGACACACGGCGGGUGCUAACGUCCGUCGUGAAGAGGGAAACAACCCAGACCGCCAGCUAAGGUCCCAAAGUCAUGGUUAAGUAGGAAACGAUGUGGGAAGGCCCAGACAGCCAGGAUGUUGGCUUAGAAGCAGCCAUCAUUUAAAGAAAGCGUAAUAGCUCACUGGUCGAGUCGGCCUGCGCGGAAGAUGUAACGGGGCUAAACCAUGCACCGAAGCUGCGGCAGCGACGCUUAUGCGUUGUUGGGUAGGGGAGCGUUCUGUAAGCCUGUGAAGGUGUACUGUGAGGUAUGCUGGAGGUAUCAGAAGUGCGAAUGCUGACAUAAGUAACGAUAAAGCGGGUGAAAAGCCCGCUCGCCGGAAGACCAAGGGUUCCUGUCCAACGUUAAUCGGGGCAGGGUGAGUCGACCCCUAAGGCGAGGCCGAAAGGCGUAGUCGAUGGGAAACAGGUUAAUAUUCCUGUACUUGGUGUUACUGCGAAGGGGGGACGGAGAAGGCUAUGUUGGCCGGGCGACGGUUGUCCCGGUUUAAGCGUGUAGGCUGGUUUUCCAGGCAAAUCCGGAAAAUCAAGGCUGAGGCGUGAUGACGAGGCACUACGGUGCUGAAGCAACAAAUGCCCUGCUUCCAGGAAAAGCCUCUAAGCAUCAGGUAACAUCAAAUCGUACCCCAAACCGACACAGGUGGUCAGGUAGAGAAUACCAAGGCGCUUGAGAGAACUCGGGUGAAGGAACUAGGCAAAAUGGUGCCGUAACUUCGGGAGAAGGCACGCUGAUAUGUAGGUGAAGUGAUUUACUCAUGGAGCUGAAAUCAGUCGAAGAUACCAGCUGGCUGCAACUGUUUAUUAAAAACACAGCACUGUGCAAACACGAAAGUGGACGUAUACGGUGUGACGCCUGCCCGGUGCCGGAAGGUUAAUUGAUGGGGUCAGCGCAAGCGAAGCUCUUGAUCGAAGCCCCGGUAAACGGCGGCCGUAACUAUAACGGUCCUAAGGUAGCGAAAUUCCUUGUCGGGUAAGUUCCGACCUGCACGAAUGGUGUAAUGAUCUGGACGCUGUCUCAACCGUGAGCUCAGUGAAAUUGUAGUAUCGGUGAAGAUGCCGAUUACCCGCGAUGGGACGAAAAGACCCCGUGAACCUUUACUAUAGCUUGACACUGAACAUUGAGCCUUGAUGUGUAGGAUAGGUGGGAGGCUUUGAAGUGUGGACGCCAGUCUGCAUGGAGCCGACCUUGAAAUACCACCCUUUAAUGUUUGAUGUUCUAACGUGGACCCGUAAUCCGGGUUGCGGACAGUGUCUGGUGGGUAGUUUGACUGGGGCGGUCUCCUCCUAAAGAGUAACGGAGGAGCACGAAGGUUGGCUAAUCCUGGUCGGACAUCAGGAGGUUAGUGCAAUGGCAUAAGCCAGCUUGACUGCGAGCGUGACGGCGCGAGCAGGUGCGAAAGCAGGUCAUAGUGAUCCGGUGGUUCUGAAUGGAAGGGCCAUCGCUCAACGGAUAAAAGGUACUCCGGGGAUAACAGGCUGAUACCGCCCAAGAGUUCAUAUCGACGGCGGUGUUUGGCACCUCGAUGUCGGCUCAUCACAUCCUGGGGCUGAAGUAGGUCCCAAGGGUAUGGCUGUUCGCCAUUUAAAGUGGUACGCGAGCUGGGUUUAGAACGUCGUGAGACAGUUCGGUCCCUAUCUGCCGUGGGCGCUGGAGAACUGAGGGGGGCUGCUCCUAGUACGAGAGGACCGGAGUGGACGCAUCACUGGUGUUCGGGUUGUCAUGCCAAUGGCACUGCCCGGUAGCUAAAUGCGGAAGAGAUAAGUGCUGAAAGCAUCUAAGCACGAAACUUGCCCCGAGAUGAGUUCU